AUGAAUCGGAUUCGGAGCUCCGGGACUCCAUAUAUGGUGGGCGCUGCCCCAUGGACACAGCGUAACGUCCGUAGUUCCGUACAGUACAUGUUUGGUUUCGAUCCCAUGGCGCCCGGCGGAAGGAGCAGCGGCGGCAACGCGGUGGACGCGGCGGAGAGGCUUCACAGGCUCGCCGAGCAGCGCUUCCUCGUCGGCGACGUGGCCGGGGCGCUCCGGGCGGCGCGGGAGGCCCAGGCGCGCUGCCGGGCGCUCCAGGGGCUCGCGCACGCCCUCGCCGCCUACGAGGUCCACGUCGCCGCGGCCGUCUCCCGCGCCAGCGGCAGGAACUGGUACGCCGUCCUCAGCGUCGGCGCCCGGACGUCGCUGCCGAGCGGCGGCGUCGGCGUCUCGCACGAGGACGUCAAGCGGCGGUACCGCCGGCUCUGCCUCGUUCUUCACCCCGACAAGAACCGCUCCGCCGCCGCCGACGGCGCGUUCAAGCUGCUCCAGCAGGCGUGGGGGGCGCUCUCGCCUAGCAACCACACCCGACCACCGCCGCCCGCCGCCAACAACGCGCCCAGGGACGACGACAGGCGGCGAGCCGGCGCCGGAGACACGUCUCACAGCCGGCCACCGCCACCAGCCGCCCACGCAACCAAGGCCGAGAGAGCCAGCGCGGACACGACGCGUCACGCGCCGGCGUCUGACGCGAAGCCCGGCACCCACAGCGGACCACCGCCACCGGCAGCCUCCGCCGCCCACACGCCCAAGGACGAGGGGUCCGGCACGGACACGCACACGCCGCCGCGGCGCCAGGGGAGCGGGAACAGCAGGAGGUUCCCGUGCCCGGCGCAGUGCGUGCACUGCGGCGCGCGGUUCGCGUCGUCGACGGUGUCCGUGGGCACGUGGCACCUCCACUGCGCGGCCUGCCACAGGUACGCCAAGGUGUGCGUGCGCAGCCCCUCCAACGCAGAGAUCUACAGGAGAGGAUGUGUGCUGCGUACGAACGUGUUCAUGUCUGAAAUCCUCGGCGGCAAGAUGAGGUGCUAUAUAUUCUAA
rnacentral:rRNA from 1 species